CCUACGGGCGGCUGCAGUGGGGAAUAUUGGGCAAUGGGCGCAAGCCUGACCCAGCAACGCCGCGUGAAGGAAGACGGCUUUCGGGUUGUAAACUUCUUUUCUCAGGGACGAAGAAAGUGACGGUACCUGAGGAAUAAGCCACGGAUAACUACGUGCCAGCCGCCGCGGUAAUACGUAGGUGGCAAGCGUUAUCCGGAUUUAUUGGGUGUAAAGGGCGUGUAGGCGGGAGGGCACGUCAGAUGUGAAAACUCAGGGCCCAACCCUGGGCCUGCAUUUGAAACUGUGUUUCUUGAGUGCAGGAGAGGCAAUCGGAAUUCCGUGUGUAGCGGUGAAAUGCGUAGAUAUACGGAGGAACACCAGUGGCGAAGGCGGAUUGCUGGACAGUAACUGACGCUGAGGCGCGAAAGCGUGGGGAGCAAACAGGAUUAGAUACCCGAGUAGUC
rnacentral:rRNA from 1 species